GAUGAACGCUGGCGGCGUGCCUAACACAUGCAAGUCGAGCGAACGGACGAGGAUUGUGCUUGGCUGAUGCUAGGGGCGGACGGGUGAGGAACAGGUGGAUAACCGACCGAUAGGGCUGACGUAAGGUAAGGAGACCGGAUCUAGCAUCGGAUAAGAGGUAGAACGGCGGGGUUCUAAAGUGCAAGCGGGACCUGCUGACACUUGGUGGUGUAACCGGGCUGCAUUAGCUAGUUGGUAAGGUAACGGCUUACCAAGGCAACGAUGCGUAGCCGACCUGAGAGGGUGAUCGGCCACACUGGAACUGAGACACGGUCCAGACUCCUACGGGAGGCAGCAGUAGGGAAUCUUCCGCAAUGGGCGAAAGCCUGACGCAGCCACGCCGCGUGAGUGAUGAAGGUCUUCGGAUCGUAAAGCUCUGUUAUUAGGGAAGAACAUAUGUGUGAGUAACUGUGCCCGUCUUGACGGUACCUACUCAGAAAGCCACGGCUAACUACGUG
rnacentral:rRNA from 1 species